ensembl:rRNA 5S_rRNA 5S ribosomal RNA
UUAUGCAGCCAUACUACCUCAGGCUGUGAUCUUAUCUGAUCUCACAAGUUGUAAAGACUGUGCCAUGUCAGUACUUCGGGUGAGACACGUCUCAAGAACCACAAGGUGCUGCAAGAA